CUGUUACUUGAAAUCAAGUGGUUCUAACUUAUGGAAGAUGGUUUCAUCAGUGUCUAGACAUGCUAACCUUUAAAGUCUUAUUGUUUUUGGAGAGUUUCCACCCCUCCAGGUUCGAAGCCAUUACCAGAGUGCUGCUGAAGCCCCUUGCAGAUGUGAGGGGACCUCUCAUGCCAAGUCUUAUGGCUGCAAAGACAUCGCAUUCCACAGUGUGGUGUCAGAGAAGAGCAGUCCUGGGAGAGAACUCUCUCCAGUCACCUUGGGAAGAUUUCCCUCUCCUACAACAGCUAACAUCAGUGGAGCUGCCAGCAUAUUCACUCUAAGGACACAACAAAAGGCACUAUCUUUGAAGAGCGUGAACCCUUACCAGAUGGAAUCUGCUGACACCUUGAUCUUGGACUUCCCAGCCUCCAGAACUGUGAGAAUAAAUUUCUGUUGUUUAUACAUUACCCAACCUAAGAUAAUCUUCUUAUAGCAGCAGGAACCAUCUAAGACAUCCUCUAAGGUGAGAUGCAACUACAACUCUGAUGAUGUGUCUCCCCACCAUGAAAUGAUGCUGCACCACUGACUAGGCCAUCCUAGGGCAUGAUGCUUUGUGGUAGCUGCCUCUGCCAUCUAAAUGGGGACCACUACAGCCACAAGCUGAGCAGGCAUUCUGGUUCCUAGCUUUUCUCAUUGAGAAAUCAGGGCAAGCAGCCUCAUUUACCUAAGUUGCAGGUUCUCUUGAGCUGUGUAGGCCCAUUCUCAGCUCCCUGUGGUGUCUUCUUCAUAUGUACAAUAACGUGUAAACAUUUAGAUGUUUGUCUACAUAUUUGAAGAGGCAUGCUGAUGCUGAAAUAUUUUUCUCUUUUGAAGAGAGGGAAAGCAGCUUGACUGAAAACCAAUAGACUCCCCAACUUUAUAACUAACUUAUAAUCACUUCACCUUCUAGGGCUGGUUUCCUCUACCAGAAAAUGGGGAAAGACAAACUGGUUUCGCAACCAGUGAAACCAUUCAGCCAAUAGCGAGAAAUAAACAGACAAGCUCCUUUAAAAAUGA
rnacentral:lncRNA from 1 species